GGGGGAGAAACUCAAAAGGUUGAGUGUUAGCCUGUCGCGCUAAAAGUUGCGGGUUCGAAUCCCGUCUCUCUCG
rnacentral:tRNA from 1 species